rnacentral:rRNA from 1 species
UACGUAGGGUGCGAGCGUUAAUCGGAAUUACUGGGCGUAAAGCGUGCGCAGGCGGUUAUGCAAGACAGAUGUGAAAUCCCCGGGCUCAACCUGGGAACUGCAUUUGUGACUGCAUAGCUAGAGUACGGUAGAGGGGGAUGGAAUUCCGCGUGUAGCAGUGAAAUGCGUAGAUAUGCGGAGGAACACCGAUGGCGAAGGCAAUCCCCUGGACCUGUACUGACGCUCAUGCACAAAAGCGUGGGGAGCAAACAGG